AGAGUUUGAUCCUGGCUCAGAUUGAACGCUGGCGGCAGGCCUAACACAUGCAAGUCGAAUGGUAACAGGAAACAGCUUGCUGUUUCGCUGACGAGUGGCGGACGGGUGAGUAAUGUCUGGGAAACUGCCUGAUGGAGGGGGAUAACUACUGGAAACGGUAGCUAAUACCGCAUAACGUCGCAAGACCAAAGAGGGGGACCUUCGGGCCUCUUGCCAUCAGAUGUGCCCAGAUGGGAUUAGCUAGUAGGUGGGGUAACGGCUCACCUAGGCGACGAUCCCUAGCUGGUCUGAGAGGAUGACCAGCCACACUGGAACUGAGACACGGUCCAGACUCCUACGGGAGGCAGCAGUGGGGAAUAUUGCACAAUGGGCGCAAGCCUGAUGCAGCCAUGCCGCGUGUAUGAAGAAGGCCUUCGGGUUGUAAAGUACUUUCAGCGGGGAAGAAGGGAGUAAAGUUAAUACCUUUGCUCAUUGACGUUACCCGCAGAAGAAGCACCGGCUAACUCCGUGCCAGCAGCCGCGGUAAUAC
rnacentral:rRNA from 1 species